UUGUGAGAUUGUGAGAAUAUCCCGAUUGUUCUUUGUGGAAACAAAGUUGAUGUCAAGAAUAGACAGGUCAAGGCAAAGCAGGUUACCUUCCACAGAAAGAAAAAUCUUCAAUACUAUGAGAUUUCUGCAAAGAGUAACUACAACUUUGAGAAGCCUUAUAUCUUGCUAUGAAGUUUUCAGGUGAUCCGAACCUUCACAUUGUUGGGGAAAUUGCUCUGGCGCCUCCAGAAGUUGCUAUUGACAUGUCUGCACAACAACAGCAUGAAGCUGAGUUGAUUAAUGCUUCCGCACAGCCUUUACCAGAUGAUGAUGAUGAUCUGUUUGAUUAGAAGAAAUCUUUUGAACGGGCUUUUCCUCUUUUGGCCUGCCUCUUCUUACUUAAUGAAACGGGAUCCUUCUUCUGUGAGCACGCCUUACCUUCUUCAUAAGAGACUUUAAAGAUCAUCAUCUCCAGUAAAAGUAGUUCCUCCUACACAGCAGCAAGGACACAUAGAUGAUGAUGAGUCAAGUUCUCAUCCCUGGGUUGAUCUCAAGGCUGCACUUGCUAGACUUAUACUACAUCAUCAAGUGCAUGGACCCUUGUACAACAGAGAAGCUUAAUGCGUAGACACAAAACAGCAAGGAUCGUCUGAUGUUGCAGGUGAAGGUGAAGAAUGGGUGAUUCUGCAUUCAUGGAAGACUGUAUGGAUCACCUCCUGAUAUGUAUACAGCAUAAUCAUAAACCCUUUGCUGUAUUCAGCCUAUUUUUUUUUUAUGUAAUGAGUUUUAUCCCACAUUGCUAGAGAAGAAAAGAAAUGAUAUGUAUAUAAUAUAUUAUAAUUAAGCAUAUAGC